ACAACAGAGAGCAGCUGAGCCAACCAAUCAGCAGGGCAUUCUGAUGGGCAUUCGCCAUGGAAGCAUGAAAGGAAACACUCUGAAGUCUAGAAUAGCAUUCCACCAUCUCCGUCUCUGCCUCUGUCUCUGGACCAGGCAUGGGCAAACUUCAUCCUUCCAGGUGUUUUCGACUCCAACUCCCACAAUUCCUAACAGCCUACUGGCCUAUUUUAUUUGACUCUAGAGAAACACGAAUGCCUCCUACACACUUUUUAAUAGAUUUAUUAGAUAUAGUCCUGGAAAAUAAUUAUUUUAGAUUUGACUCCAAAUAUUAUUUACAAAUGUGGGGAGUAGCUAUGGGAAGUCCCCUCAUGCCAGCUGUGGCCAAUUUAUUUGUAUCCCAUCUAGAAACAGUUUUCAUAUAUAAUCAGAAUCCACACCUAACAGAUAUGUUAUACUACGGAAGAUACAUAGAUGAUGUAUUGAUGAUUUUUAGUUCUUACGAAAAAGCCCAAUUAUUUAGUGAUUGGAUUAACACUAUCCACCCAAACAUGAAAUUCACUAGUACCAUAAGUGCUACUAACAUCAAUUUUUUAGAUGUUGUGAUACAUAAAGACAGAGAAAACUUAUAUGUAACUAAUUACACUAAACCAACAGACAAAAAUUCUAUUCUACAUUUCAAAAGUUUCCAUCAUCAUGCCUUGAAAGCUAAUUUACCAUAUUCCCAACUGUUAAGAUUAAAGCGAAAUAACAGUAAACAAAAAGAUUUUUAAAGGCAGCAUAUAUCUUUAAGAACAAACUCAAAAUAAGAGGAUACCCAGAGAAAAUCCUUAACACUGCAUUAGAGAAGACCCAUAAAAUUAACAGGGAUACACUUCUUAAAUAUCAACCCAAGUCACUAUCUAAUAGGAUUAUUUGUCCCCUUACUUUAAAUGCACAAACAUCUAACAUAUGGAAAAUAAUCUUUAAACACUGGCACUUAAUACAAGAUAUCCCAGGUUGUCAAUUCAAACCAAUCAUAGCCCACAAGAGAUCAAAAAAUUUAAGGGAUAUAUUGAUUCACACAGAUAUAAGAAAAUCUAAUAUAGGUCUACAGAACCCCACCAUGGGUAACUUUCGAUGUGGGCACUGUGAUUUUUGUAAAUUUACAAAGAAUUUAUACAUCCUACAUUGAACAUUAGAGUUAAUUUGAACAGCUAUACUACUUGUUCUUCAGAAAACGUGAUCUAUGUCGUUUUUUAUCCUUAUGAAAUGUUAUAUGUAGGCAUGACAACAAGAUCUGUAAGGACAAGGAUGCAAGAACACAGAUCAAGAAUCAGAAAAAUGAGCGUUGAAUCCACAUUAUAUUUACACUUUAAAGACAGCUUUCACUCAUGUAAUGAUCUUAAGUACUUUGUCUUAGAAAAAUUUCAAGCCUCUACUAAUAUGGACAUUAGGAAUUCCCUACUCCACAGGGAGACUUUCUGGAUCCACAAAUUAAAGACUUUACCUCCUCUAGGCUUGAAUGACAGGUUGGAAUUCACCUGUUUUCUUUAAUUUCUUUAAUUGAUGCUUAAGUACUUAAGAAACUACAAUACCUCACUAGAAUGCUCGCAACCUGAGAAAGAAUACUACAUGUAAGGAUCCUCUGAGGACAUAAAUAAGAAGGCAGAGCCUCAUCCCAAGUAAACAGUGGGAACAUUAAGAUGACCUGAAGAAGCAUCAAAACUGGCAUUGUACCCGGGAAACCAGUCGUAAUCACCCCCGGCACCUUAGAUCACCUGACCAUCCCUGGUACCCACCAACGGAACAAAUUCAUCACUUAAAAUAACAACCGAUUUCUCAAACCCUGAAACAGAUUGAUGAACUACUUUGAUUUGGAACUACUCUACAUUGGUGUCAUCAUAUACUUGUAUUCCAGCUGCACAAUUGACUCUACUGUACACUUCAGCAUUACUUGAGAAAGUGAUCAAGACGUCAGUAAGACUUUGUUUGAUUUCUACUCUUUGUUUGUCAAGACUGGAGUUAAAAUUUGAGACUGCAAUAGUUUUAAAGGAAUACUUAUGUGAAAUGUUACUAAAGUAUACAUAUUUAUGUUAAGAACUGUACAAACACAGUUGGAUAAAAAACUCCAGCAGCAUUUGAGAACAUUAUCAAGACGUUAAAAA